rnacentral:misc_RNA from 1 species
AAAGUCGUAACAAGGUUUCCGUAGGUAAGUGGAAGCUUUCCAUCUUACACCCCCUCAUAGUUUCUAUGCUUUGAAUAAUGUGCUAACUUUUCUCUUUUAGGUGAACCUGCGGAAGGAUCAUUACCGAGUGCGAACCCUCCCGUAAAAAGGGGGGUUACCUCCCGUCCUUUGCUGGGCACCCCCUCCAAUCGAAUGGGGGUUGUUUUUCAGACCCUUCUGCUUCGGCGGGGUAACCCGCCGGAACAACCUCAAAAUAUUCUAAGUUUUAAACCAUUCAGUCCGAGAACUUUUGAAAAGCGAAUAAAACUUUCAACAACGGAUCUCUUGGUUCUG